rfam:Salmo salar isolate Sally breed double haploid chromosome ssa08, whole genome shotgun sequence.
CCUAGGAAACUUUGUAAGUCGCUCUGGAUAAGAGUGUCUGCUAAAUGACGUAAA